rnacentral:rRNA from 1 species
AGAGUUUGAUCCUGGCUCAGGACGAACGCUGGCGGCGUGCCUCAUACAUGCAAGUCGAGCGGGGUCCAUCUUGGAGUAAUCCUUGAGAAGACCUAGCGGCGAACGGGUGAGUAACACGUGACCAACCUGCCCCGAACACUGGGAUAAGCCCGGGAAACUGGGUCUAAUACCGGAUACCCUCCUUGGAUCGCAUGUUCCUUGGAGGAAAGGUCCGCUGGUUCGGGAUGGGGUCGCGGCCUAUCAGCUAGUUGGUGAGGUAAUGGCUCACCAAGGCAACGACGGGUAGCUGGCCUGAGAGGGUGAUCAGCCACACUGGGACUGAGACACGGCCCAGACUCCUACGGGAGGCAGCAGUAGGGAAUAUUGCGCAAUGGGCGAAAGCCUGACGCAGCGACGCCGCGUGCGGGAUGACGGCCUUCGGGUUGUAAACCGCUUUUAGCAGGGACGAAGCGAAAGUGACGGUACCUGCAGAAUAAGCCCCGGCCAACUACGUGCCAGCA